rnacentral:misc_RNA from 1 species
GAUGAAGAACGUAGCGAAAUGCGAUAAGUAAUGUGAAUUGCAGAAUUCAGUGAAUCAUCGAAUCUUUGAACGCACCUUGCACCCUUUGGCAUUCUGAAGGGUAUGCUCGUUUGAGUGUCAUUGUACUCUCACACUCCCGAUCUUUGCAUUGGGAGCAGUGGACUUGGGUUUGCUGCUUCACCGUCGCUUACCUCAAAUAGGUUAGUGCAACUCUUGGUUGGACAUAGUACGGCGUGAUAAGUGUUCUUCGCCGGUGCCUCGCAAAGAGGGUGGCCGAUCGUGAUGUUGUGCUCCAAACCGUCUUCGGACAAUCUCUGACGACUUGACCUCAAAUCGAGUAAGACUACCCGCUGAACUUAAGCAUAUCAAUAAGCGGAGGA